rnacentral:rRNA from 1 species
GACGAACGCUGGCGGCGUGCCUAACACAUGCAAGUCAACUUGACUGAAGGAGCAAUCUGACAGUAGAGUGGCGCAAGGGUGCGUAACGCGUAAGUAACUUGCCCCAAGGUAAGGAAUAACGUCGAGAAAUCGGCGCUAAUACCUCAUAAUGCAGCGGAUCCGCAUGGAUAUGUUGUUAAAGGUUUACCGCCUUGGGAUAGGCUUGCGUCUGAUUAGCUAGUUGGUGUGGUAACGGCACACCAAGGCUACGAUCAGUAACUGGUCUGAGAGGAUGAUCAGUCACACUGGAACUGAGACACGGUCCAGACUCCUACGGGAGGCAGCAGUGAGGAAUAUUGGGCAAUGCUCGAAAG